GUGCUCACUUUGGAAGCACAUAUACUAAAAUUGGAAUGAUACAGAGAAGAUUAGCAUGGUCCUGUGCAAGGAUGACAUAAAUGUGCUACAAGUAAUGUAUAGAUCU
rnacentral:snRNA from 1 species